CCAGCGUGAUCCCCGGCGGGCUGGGCCACAGCGUGAGCACCUGCCCGAGAGCAGAGGCAGCCCAGGACGCUCACAGACCGGGAGUCCCACAGGCGGCAACAGGGGCUUCUCCCAGAAGAGGUGUGGACAGGCUGGUUCCUCAGUUUUAAAGGCCUAGAACCUUCACCAGGGCCACGCAGUGGAUGCCCAUAAGGGAGCAAGGCACCAGUACCGACCAGGACCAACUCCGGAGGACGGGAUGUGCCAAGCUUCUGGGGAAACCCAGAAUGCAGGGGUGCGUUCCUUUGUCAUCUCCCUCCACCCUCCCCUGCAGGGUCCUAGCCCAGCAGGAGUUUGAGCAGCAGCUCCCACAGCCCCAGCCCCAGCCCCUGGUGGGGGAGGGACAGGGCUUUGGCCCAAGUGUCCACCUCCUCCUGGAAACCUGCCCUGCAUUGCACUGUUUCGGAAAAGGGAAGGGGUGGCAUUCCUGUGGUUUCAGAACCCAGAAACUUCUGGGCUGCGGGGAAUCGUGUCCUUAACAGUGCUCCCACCAGAAAACCCACUUUCCACCUUCUUUCUUGGACAGGGACUUAAAGCCCGACCCAAACCGCAUCCUCACACCCAUCAGAGCCUUAGUGAUCGUGUCAGCCACCAAACGUGGGUCAUGGCCACAUGUGGAACACCCACUGUGUGGCCAGCAGUUGACAAGCAAAGGGGACAAAAGGCAGCUUUUUCGGGUGCUCUGCCCAUACCCUCCCGGCCUCUCAGCACCAGCCCCAGAGCGCUGGUGUCAGAACCACGAAAAAGCACGUCUGCCCCAGUCGGCACCCCUGGCUUUAUUCCCAGCAGCCCACAGGGCUCCCGUGUAACAUACCCACCCUGGUGCUGCCCUCCCACCUCCCUCUGGAGACACACUGGGGGUCCUUCUAUAGAGAAGCAUUCCAUUUGUACGGCAUGGCCCGAGUCUGGCGGAGGAACCACGGGGGGGCUGUCUCAGGCUUCCAGCUUUAUGGGGGAUCCCUGAGGUCUGCAGUGGUGACCUGUCCUCCGGCUCUCAGCAGGGAUGCCAGCUCCCCGUCAUGUCCAGCAUGUCCAGCAGAGCCACUGUUUGGGGCAGUGGGAGAGGCCUCGGAGAGUGUGUCCAGGGGGCCCUCUGAAGGGGUGCCCAGCAGCUCCACACCGUCCAGUUCAGCGUCCAGCAUCGGAUCCCUAGUGUCAUACCUGUUCUCCUCUCAGCAAAGCACCGGGUGCGGGCUGGGGUGAGGUGAGGCACUUGAUGGGGGGGCAUUCCCGACAGCCUGGGUGGUGCACAGGGUCACUCAUGUGGUCCGGCCUGGAGCCCGGUGUCUAGCCCUCAAGCCCCAACAAGCAUCGACCCCCAGCCACCACCCCCAGCUCCCCAGUCCCAGUGAAGCGGCCCUUCUCCCAGCAGCGGCCGGCUCCCCUCAGGGAAGGCCGUCAAGCGGCUGGCUUCGGCAGGCCGUCCGGGCCCAGGAGGUGAGCGUGCUGGUCAUCCAGGGUCUGAGGCCCAGGCCCCACCUGUCAGACGGGAUGACGGGAGAGGCAGUCUUUGAAAAAAAGGAAGAAGUCAACACCUCCGUCCAAGUGGGACUCCAUGGACACGUUCCCCAGAAGACGAAAGCCCGCAAGCCACCCACAGGGUGACAAGAGCAAUGAGUUCAGAGUCUCCCACAAGGGGGCCGUCCUUGGUCAUGGCGUCUGUCCACCCGGUGAGGAAGUCAGCCUUCCAGCCCCCACCCGCUACAGGUCAGUAUUACCCCAACAACGGUGACACAUAAGCCGACCCCACAUACUCCCGCACCCCUAGCAGGCAGGUGUCCCUGCACUGGCACGGCUGGAAGAGAGAAGUCCAAAGGCCCAGUUGUCCCCGCAAGGCCACGGGCACCACCCCCAGGAGCCAUUAUGCUACAUGCACCUGCACGUGUGGCCACCGGGCUGUGACACGUGAUGGUCACAGGGGGCGCCCUUGGUGACACACUGCUUGGGGUCCCUGCAGGGACUGAAAUUCUCACGGGACCCCCAUUCAGCACCGGGGCCUCAGGGGCCACCGUCCCGCAUCUCAGCAAGAAACCCUGCUUCUCCCUCCAUGCCUCCCAAACGUGGGGACCCCUAACUCACUUGUCUCCAUUCGACUCAGGGGGGAAGCAGUGCCUCACGGCAGCCACAAACUCAGGCACAGUGUCGUCCAGGGUAAAGACCACGGCGUUGGGCCCCGCGUCGAACGUGUAAGC